UUGUUCUUUAAAUAAGGACUAGUAUCAACGGCAUCACGAGGGUUAUACUGUCUCCUUUCUCCUAUCAGUGAAACUGAUCUCCCCGUGAAGAAGCGGGGAUUUUAUCAUAAGACGAGAAGACCCCAUGGAGCUUUAAACCCAACAMCCCYUCUGUGUACUCACACCCACAUAACCCAAAGAGAGCUGCCCUGUUGGUUUUAGGUUGGGGUGACCACGGAGUACAACUAAGCCUCCAUAAUGAAUUGGGCCAUACCCUAAUCCAAGAGCAACCGCUCUAAGAAUUAUUAAUUUAACAUAAAAUGAUCCGAUUUUUCGAUCAACGAACCAAGUUACCCUGGGGAUAACAGCGCAAUCCAUUUCAAGAGCUCCUAUCGACAAAUGGGUUUACGACCUCGAUGUUGGA
rnacentral:rRNA from 1 species